UCCUCGGGGUUGAGGACUCACACAACGGUAAGAUAGGUUAGUCGAACGGUAUGGGAAGGCCGGCCACAGCGGGUGAGAGCCCCGUAGACGAAAACUGAAUCUUAUUAGUGAGGAUCCAGAGUACCGCCGGACACGUGAAACCCGGUGGGAAACUGGGGGGACCACCCUCCAAGCCUAAAUACUACCUGAUGACCGAUAGAGGAGCAGUACCGUGAGGGAAAGGUGAAAAGGACCCCGGGAGGGGAGUGAAAUAGA
rnacentral:rRNA from 1 species